GGGGGUAUCGGUUAAUGGCAAACCAACGAACUCCAAACUCGUUACCGUGGGUUCGAUUCCCACUACCCCCG
rnacentral:tRNA from 1 species